rnacentral:rRNA from 1 species
UACGUAGGGUGCAAGCGUUAUCCGGAAUUAUUGGGCGUAAAGAGCUCGUAGGCGGUUUGUCGCGUCUGCUGUGAAAACCCCGAGGCUCAACCUCGGGCCUGCAGUGGGUACGGGCAAACUAGAGUGCGGUAGGGGGAGAUUGGAAUUCCUGGUGUAGCGGUGGAAUGCGCAGAUAUCAGGAGGAACACCGAUGGCGAAGGCAGAUCUCUGGGCCGUAACUGACGCUGAGGAGCGAAAGCAUGGGGAGCAAACAGG